rnacentral:rRNA from 1 species
UCUUCCGCAAUGGACGAAAGUCUGACGGAGCAACGCCGCGUGAGUGAUGAAGGUAUUCGGAUCGUAAAACUCUGUUGUUUGGGAAGAACAAGUACCGUUCGAAUAGGGCUGUACCUUGCCGGCACCUAACCAGACAGCAACGGCUAACUACGUGCCAGCAGCCGCGGUAAUACGUAGGUGGCAAGCGUUGUCCGGAAUUAUUGGGCGUAAAGCGCGCGCAGGCGGUUUCUUAAGUCUGAUGUGGAAGCCCCCGGCUCAACCGGGGAGGGUCAUUGGAAACUGGGGAACUUGAGUGCAGAAGAGGAGAGUGGAAUUCCACGUGUAGCGGUGAAAUGCGUAGAGAUGUGGAGGAACACCAGUGGCGAAGGCGACUCUCUGGUCUGUAACUGACGCUGAGGCGCGAAAGCGUGGGGAGCGAACAG